rnacentral:rRNA from 1 species
CACGUAGGGGGCAAGCGUUGUCCGGAUUUAUUGGGCGUAAAGAGCUCGUAGGCGGCUCAGUAAGUCAGGUGUGAAACCUCCAGGCUCAACCUGGAGACGCCACCUGAUACUGCUGUGGCUAGAGUCCGGUAGGGGAGCGUGGAAUUCCCGGUGUAGCGGUGAAAUGCGCAGAUAUCGGGAAGAACACCUAUGGCGAAGGCAGCUCUCUGGGACGGUACUGACGCUGAGACGCGAAAGCGUGGGGAGCGAACAGG